CAUUCCCUGACGAUUCAACUCGAUGGCUGGCUUACAAUGCCUUGCAGUGUGUAUCCAUCUCAGAUGUCCAGCCCGAACAUAGACUGCCUUAUCAAGAAACAGAACAAGAUAUCAUCAUUACCGUUCAGCAGCUACCAGCUCUCAAAGACAGCCAUCAAUACCAAUGUGCCUUCGACUCUUACAAGGUCAAUGCUGCUGCUACUACGACCAAUACAGUCAUAUGCGUAACUCCUCCUGCGAGUGAAUUGCCAACGAUUCCAGAAGAAGUGGCCCAUGUAACAUUGACACUUUCCAUUGUCUCAACGGAAACUGGAGUAAGCUUCGUCAGCACAGAUUUCAUAUCGUUUGACUGCUCCCAUCU